GAAGGAAUUUUGGACAAUGGGGGAAACCCUGAUCCAGCAACGCCGCGUGGGCGAUGAAGGUCUUCGGAUCGUAAAGCCCUUUUCUGUGGGAAGAGGCAGGACGGUACCACAGGAAUAAGUCUCGGCUAACUACGUGCCAGCAGCCGCGGUAAAACGUAGGAGGCGAGCGUUAUCCGGAUUUACUGGGCGUAAAGCGCAUGCAGGCGGUUUGGCAAGUUGGGCGUGAAAUCUCUCGGCUUAACCGGGAGGGGUCGUCCAAUACUGCGGGACUUGAGUGCAGGAGAGGGAAGCGGAAUUCCCGGUGUAGCGGUAAUAUGCGCAGAUAUCGGGAAGAACACCAGUGGCGAAGGCGGCUUUCUGGCCUGUAACUGACGCUAAGAUGCGAAAGCUAGGGGAGCGAACGG
rnacentral:rRNA from 1 species